rnacentral:rRNA from 1 species
AGAGUUUGAUCAUGGCUCAGAUUGAACGCUGGCGGCAUGCCUAACACAUGCAAGUCGAACGGCAGCACAGUGGUAGCAAUACCAUGGGUGGCGAGUGGCGAACGGGUGAGUAAUGCGCCGGAACGUAUCCAGUAGAGGGGGAUAACGCAGCGAAAGCUGUGCUAAUACCGCAUACGCCCUGAGGGGGAAAGCAUGGGAUCUUCGGACCAUGCGUUAUUGGAGCGGCCGACGUCUGAUUAGCUAGUAGGUGAGGUAAAGGCUCACCUAGGCGAUGAUCAGUAGCUGGUCUGAGAGGACGAUCAGCCACACUGGGACUGAGACACGGCCCAGACUCCUACGGGACGCAGCAG